rnacentral:rRNA from 1 species
UACGUAGGGGGCAAGCGUUGUCCGGAUUUAUUGGGCGUAAAGAGCGUGUAGGCGGCCGUACAGGUCAGCUGUGAAAACUCGAGGCUCAACCUCGAGACGUCGGUUGAAACCGUACGGCUAGAGUCCGGAAGAGGAGAGUGGAAUUCCCGGUGUAGCGGUGAAAUGCGCAGAUAUCGGGAAGAACGACCCGUGGCGAAGGCGGCUCUCUGGGACGGUACUGACGCUGAGACGCGAAAGCGUGGGGAGCGAACAGG